rnacentral:lncRNA from 1 species
UUGUUUCACACCUUUCAAGAUUGGAUAAAUCAAUAACCAGACACUUGAAUUCAUUUAUGGAUUUUAUUUCCUUGUUUAUUGAGCAAUUCACUUUACAUAUACUCAAUGUUUUGUCAUCAUCAAAAAGGGGGAGAUUGUGGAGUGAUUGAUUAAAACCCUAUUUGAUUUUGAUAAGCUCAAAGCAUUUGAGUAUAUCUUUUGUUUACUAAUGAAUUCAAUUGAGUGUUUCAGUGAAAAUCUUGUCUAAGUGUCUCUAGACUUGGUUCAAGAUAUUU